AACGAACGCUGGCGGCAUGCCUAACACAUGCAAGUCGAACGAGACCUUCGGGUCUAGUGGCGCACGGGUGCGUAACGCGUGGGAACCUGCCCUUAGGUUCGGAGUAACUCCCCGAAAGGGGUGCUAAUACCGGAUAAUGUCUUCGGACCAAAGAUUUAUCGCCUUUGGAUGGGCCCGCGUUGGAUUAGCUAGUUGGUAGGGUAAAAGCCUACCAAGGCGACGAUCCAUAGCUGGUCUGAGAGGAUGAUCAGCCACACUGGGACUGAGACACGGCCCAGACUCCUACGGGAGGCAGCAGUGGGGAAUAUUGGACAAUGGGCGAAAGCCUGAUCCAGCAAUGCCGCGUGAGUGAUGAAGGCCUUAGGGUUGUAAAGCUCUUUUACCCGGGAUGAUAAUGACGGUACCGGGAGAAUAAGCUCCGGCUAACUCCGUG
rnacentral:rRNA from 1 species